rnacentral:rRNA from 1 species
GACGAACGCUGGCGGCGUGCCUAAUACAUGCAAGUCGAACGGUCUUUUCUAUGGAAGCUUGCUUCCACUGAGAAGAUAGUGGCGAACGGGUGAGUAACACGUGGGUAACCUGCCCAUAAGAGGGGGAUAACAUCCGGAAACGGGUGCUAAUACCGCAUAGUUUUCUUGAUCGCAUGAUCGGGAAAGGAAAGACGGCCUUUGUGCUGUCGCUUAUGGAUGGACCCGCGGCGUAUUAGUUAGUUGGUGAGGUAACGGCUCACCAAGACGAUGAUACGUAGCCGACCUGCGAGGGUGAUCGGCCACAAUGGGACUGAGACACGGCCCAAACUCCUACGGGAGGCAGCAGUAGGGAAUCUUCCGCAAUGGACGAAAGUCUGACGGAGCAACGCCGCGUGAGUGAAGAAGGUUUUCGGAUCGUAAAACUCUGUUGUCAGAGAAGAACAAGUUGGAGAGUAACUGCUCCAGCCUUGACGGUAUCUGACCAGAAAGCCACGGCUAACUACGUGCCAGCAGCCGCGGUAAGAC